rnacentral:rRNA from 1 species
GAUGAACGCUGGCGGCGUGCCUAAUACAUGCAAGUCGAGCGAACGGACGAGAAGCUUGCUUCUCUGCUGUUAGCGGCGGACGGUUGAGUAACACGUGUAUAACCUACCUAUAAGUCUUUUAUAACUUCGGGAAACCUUAUCUAAUACCGGCUAAUAUUUUUAACCGCAUUGUUCAAAAGUGAAAUACGUUCUUUCUGUCACUUAUAGAUGCUUCCGCGCUGCAUUAGCUAGUUGGUAAGGUAACGGCUUACCAAGGCAACGAUGCAUAGACGACCUGAGAGGGAGAUCGGCGACACAGGAAGUGAGACACGGUACAGAGGACUAGGGGAGGGAGCAGGAGGGAAUAUGCCGCAAAGGGGGAAAGCAGGACGAAGAAAAGACACGUGAGAGAUGAAGGUAGUCGGAUCGGAAAACUGAGUUAUGAGGGAAGAAAAUAUGGGAAAGAAAAUGUGCACAUAUGGACGUUACCUAAUGAGAAAGCAACGGCUAACUACGUG